UAGGGAAUCUUCCGCAAUGGACGCAAGUCUGACGGAGCAACGCCGCGUGAGUGAAGAAGGAUUUCGGUUCGUAAAACUCUGUUGUUAGAGAAGAACAGCGCAUAGAGUAACUGUUAUGCGUGUGACGGUAUCUAACCAGAAAGCCACGGCUAACUACGUGCCAGCAGCCGCGGUAAUACGUAGGUGGCAAGCGUUGUCCGGAUUUAUUGGGCGUAAAGCGAGCGCAGGCGGUCAAUUAAGUCUGAUGUGAAAGCCCCCGGCUCAACCGGGGAGGGUCAUUGGAAACUGGUUGACUUGAGUGCAGAAGAGGAGAGUUGAAUUCCAUGUGUAGCGGUGAAAUGCGUAGAUAUAUGGAGGAACACCAGUGGCGAAGGCGACUCUCUGGUCUGUAACUGACGCUGAGGCUCGAAAGCGUGGGUAGCAAACAGG
rnacentral:rRNA from 1 species